AGCAAAGGGAAAGUGAAAGAAAAACUUUCCACUUUUGCAGGUGAAUACCUGGCGCUGUCAUUGUCACUCAGAACUUAUGCAAAGUUCCUGAUUAUUUUCCUUGGAACUAGGUGUGAUAUACAUAGACUGGACUCCAACUUUGGAUCAAUGCACUUUGACCACUGUCGCCA
rnacentral:lncRNA from 1 species